rnacentral:misc_RNA from 1 species
AUAAUUUACCAUUUCAUAUGGAAAAUUAAAUCCAUAUCCACCUUGUGUGCAUUGUCGAAUGUUUGCUUUGGGAGGUAACCUGGUGUUUGGCGUUUGUCGAUAUCUGGGUAGAAAGUUAAUCUUUCAACCUCCCGAAGUUUCUUUUUAACAACACUUAUAACUCUUGACUGAAAAUUUUUUGUUAUAUUAAACAAAUAAAUA